GACGAACGCUGGCGGCGUGCCUAAUACAUGCAAGUUGAGCGCUGAAGGUUGGUACUUGUACCAACUGGAUGAGCAGCGAACUGGUGAGUAACGCGUGGGGAAUCUGCCUUUGAGCGGGGGACAACAUUUGGAAACGAAUGCUAAUACCGCAUAAAAACUUUAAACACAAGUUUUAAGUUUGAAAGAUGCAAUUGCAUCACUCAAAGAUGAUCCCGCGUUGUAUUAGCUAGUUGGUGAGGUAAAGGCUCACCAAGGCGAUGAUACAUAGCCGACCUGAGAGGGUGAUCGGCCACAUUGGGACUGAGACACGGCCCAAACUCCUACGGGAGGCAGCAGUAGGGAAUCUUCGGCAAUGGACGAAAGUCUGACCGAGCAACGCCGCGUGAGUGGAGAAGGUUUUCGGAUCGUAAAACUCUGUUGGUAGAGAAGAACGUUGGUGAGAGUGGAAAGCUCAUCAAGUGACGGUAACUACCCAGAAAGGGACGGCUAACUACGUG
rnacentral:rRNA from 1 species